rnacentral:rRNA from 1 species
CAGUCGCCGCGGUAAUACGGAGGGUCCGAGCGUUAAUCGGAAUUACUGGGCGUAAAGCGUGCGCAGGCGGUUUGUUAAGCGAGAUGUGAAAGCCCUGGGCUCAACCUAGGAAUAGCAUUUCGAACUGGCGAACUAGAGUCUUGUAGAGGGGGGUAGAAUUCCAGGUGUAGCGGUGAAAUGCGUAGAGAUCUGGAGGAAUACCGGUGGCGAAGGCGGCCCCCUGGACAAAGACUGACGCUCAUGCACGAAAGCGUGGGGAGCAAACAUGAUUAGAUACCCCAGUAGUCCCUGUCUCUUAUAC